AGGAGAAAACAUUAUCCCCUUGAAGGAAAUUAAUCCUCCAAAACCUUUUGAAAUGUUUUAAAAAGCUUACUACCAGAGUGAAUACAUGCAUUAAAAAUAAAAUAAAAAAAAAAAAAAACAAAAUAAGCCUAACUAGGCUCUUGGCCCAGACACCCAGAGACAGGUCACACCCCUACCUUCAGCUUGCAUCAGUGGCAGGUAAUGUUGAUAGCCUGGUAUGCUGUCCCCAAGGGUUUAUCAGCGCUGCACAGCCAGCAAAAACAGCCAAGUCAGCAAAGAUAUUAGAAAGUGUUCAGUGACAGUUGUGCAAGUCACCAGAGGCCCUGAUCUACUAGACUUGAGGUGUAUGGGUCUGAGCUUGCAUUGCCUACCUUUGGGCAGUCAGAGGGGCAGGAACUACCCACAGUCUUCCCUUCCCAACUAAAUAAGUCUCUUCCUCCGGACCAAUAAAAAAAAAAAAAAAAAAAAAAAAAAAAAGAAAAUUGCUUUGUGCAAAGUCAAACUUUUCUCAAGAAACCCUGAAUGCAGCGUGCCUUGAGGUAAGGGAAGAAAAUGAGAGCUGUGUGAGGGUAAGUAAAAAAAGCGGCUUUAACACCACUGACCCUAAGAACUCCAUCCAGAAGACACUCUAAUAUGCUCCAGAAAAAAAUGCAAGCUCACUAGGAUUAUUUCUGCCUAUUCUGUAAAUGUAAGAGGAGUAUCUUUCUGUGGGUCAUAGAUUAGCAGUCAGCAGACCUUGAUAUGUCAUGGAGAUGUACAGGAUUACAAAUAGGCACUUCUGGACUUCUUUUGAGUUCAGGUGCUGAAAAGUUGCCUACAAAGGAUCACAGAGAAAAUUGGGUGGAUACAGGCUUCAAUGAGACAAAAGUCAAAAACAGACACAAGGAGAGAGGUGUCACCUGAAGUGUGAUGUGCACUUGCUGCAGUGAGCAGCGAUGCUGUCCUUGGUUUGACUCCCAAGCAGGUGUCCUGUGCUGUGUAAUUCUGUAGGGAGCAGUCAGGCUUCCUGGGAGACAGAGCCAGGCGGGGAGGCCUUGGCUGAUCCGCUGUGUUUAUGAGGCAGCUUUAUUUUGAGGAGAUGGAACAGAAGCAGUAAAGGAGAGGGCGUGUGAAUUCUCUCCUUCAGCAUGCACCUCACUGAGUGACCCUGAUGCCUCUCAGAGUUUUAACCUCAGGUGUAAAAACAGAGCCUGGCCCGUGCUUCAGAAAGGAUGAAAUCUGUCACAGUGUUUUUAAAGCAUCCCUGCAUGUCAGUCUUC
rnacentral:lncRNA from 1 species